rfam:Parastrongyloides trichosuri strain KNP genome assembly, scaffold: PTRK_scaffold0000011
CCAAAGGCCCUCUUUAGGGCCACCAAAUAUAAAUUUUAUUCUUAUU